rnacentral:rRNA from 1 species
UUAAUAAAUUAUAUAAAAUAUUUUGAUGAAUAUUUAUAUAAUAUUAACAUAAUUCAUAUUACUAUAUAUUUUAGUAUAUGAAAUUUUACUUUGAGAAAAUUAGAGUGCUUAAAGCAGGCAUAUGCCUUGAAUACUCCAGCAUGGAAUAAUAUUAAAGAUUUUUAUCUUUCUUAUUGGUUCUAAGAUAAGAAUAAUGAUUAAUAGGGACAGUUGGGGGCAUUUGUAUUUAACAGUCAGAGGUGAAAUUCUUAGAUUUGUUAAAGACAAACUAAUGCGAAAGCAUUUGCCAAGGAUGUUUUCAUUAAUCAAGAACGAAAGUUAGGGGAUCGAAGACGAUCAGAUACCGUCGUAGUCUUAACCAUAAACUAUGCCAACUAGAGAUGGGAGGUGGUU